rnacentral:rRNA from 1 species
UACGAAGGGGGCUAGCGUUGCUCGGAAUUACUGGGCGUAAAGCGCACGUAGGCGGAUUGUUAAGUCGGGGGUGAAAUCCUGGAGCUCAACUCCAGAACUGCCUUCGAUACUGGCGAUCUCGAGUUCGGGAGAGGUGAGUGGAACUGCGAGUGUAGAGGUGAAAUUCGUAGAUAUUCGCAAGAACACCAGUGGCGAAGGCGACUUACUGGACACAUAUUGACGCUGAGGUGCGAAAGCGUGGGGAGCAAACAGG